CGGGGUAGAGAAGGCGAAGUGCAGCACUGCAACGUGCCCAAUGACACAGGUCCUGAAGGCAGCAGCAGCGGAAACCCAGUGCGCCGGGGACAAGUGCGCCCCCAGCGAU
rnacentral:SRP_RNA from 11 species